rfam:Operophtera brumata OBRT01_Sc08081, whole genome shotgun sequence.
UGUUCUAUGGCCGAACUGGUAAAGGCAUUGCCGAUCACAAGCAGGGUUGCGGGUUCGAGUCCCGCUGGAACGG